rnacentral:RNase_P_RNA from 1 species
GUCAGCCGGGCAGUCGCUGCCGUGCACGCGUGCUUUGCAUACGGUCACGGGGGAGGAAAGUCCGGGCUCCGCAGGACAGGGUGCCAGGUAACGCCUGGGGGGCGUAAGCCCACGACCAGUGCAACAGAGAGCAAACCGCCGAUGGCCGUCAGGCACAGGUAAGGGUGAAAGGGUGCGGUAAGAGCGCACCGCGAAGCUGGUAACAGUCUUCGGCACGGUAAACUCCACCCGGAGCAAGAUCAAAUAGGCUCUCAUCUGGUGUGGUCCGCACUGAGAGCGGGUAGAUUGCUGGAGUCAGCGAGCGAUUGCUGACCUAGAGGAAUGGCUGCCACCCGUAAGGGCACAGAACCCGGCUUACAGGCUGGCCUGA